UACGUAGGGUGCGAGCGUUUAAUCGGAAUUACUGGGCGUAAAGCGUGCGCAGGCGGUCUGUUAAGACCGAUGUGAAAUCCCCGGGCUUAACCUGGGAACUGCAUUGGUGACUGGCAGGCUUUGAGUGUGGCAGAGGGGGAUGGAAUUCCGCGUGUAGCAGUGAAAUGCGUAGAUAUCAGGAGGAAUACCGAUGGCGAAGGCAGGUCUCUGGGCUGACACUGACGCUCAUGCACGAAAGCGUGGGGAGCAAACAGG
rnacentral:rRNA from 1 species